rnacentral:rRNA from 1 species
UACGGAGGGAGCUAGCGUUGUUCGGAAUUACUGGGCGUAAAGCGCACGUAGGCGGCUUUGUAAGUUAGAGGUGAAAGCCCGGAGCUCAACUCCGGAACUGCCUUUAAGACUGCAUCGCUUGAAUCCAGGAGAGGUGAGUGGAAUUCCGAGUGUAGAGGUGAAAUGCGUAGAUAUCUGGAGGAAUACCGGUGGCGAAGGCGGCAUCCUGGACCGACAUUGACGCUGAACGGCGAAAGCUAGGGGAGCAAACGGG